rnacentral:rRNA from 1 species
GGGGAAUAUUGGACAAUGGGGGCAACCCUGAUCCAGCAAUGCCGCGUGUGUGAAGAAGGUCUUCGGAUUGUAAAGCACUUUCGACGGGGACGAUGAUGACGGUACCCGUAGAAGAAGCCCCGGCUAACUUCGUGCCAGCAGCCGCGGUAAUACGAAGGGGGCUAGCGUUGCUCGGAAUGACUGGGCGUAAAGGGCGUGUAGGCGGUUUACACAGUCAGAUGUGAAAUCCCCGGGCUUAACCUGGGAGCUGCAUUUGAUACGUGUAGACUAGAGUGUGAGAGAGGGUUGUGGAAUUCCCAGUGUAGAGGUGAAAUUCGUAGAUAUUGGGAAGAACACCGGUGGCGAAGGCGGCAACCUGGCUCAUGACUGACGCUGAGGCGCGAAAGCGUGGGGAGCAAACAGGAUUAGAUACCCUGGUAGUCCACGCUGUAAACGAUGUGUGCUAGAUAUUGGGUAACUUUGUUAUUCAGUGUCGCAGUUAACGCGUUAAGCACACCGCCUGGGGAGUACGGCCGCAAGGUUG